rnacentral:rRNA from 1 species
AGAGUUUGAUCCUGGCUCAGGACGAACGCUGGCGGCGCGUUUUAAGCAUGCAAGUCGAGCGGCAAGGGUACUUCGGUACCCCUAGAGCGGCGGACGGGUGAGUAACACGUGGAUAACCUGCCCCCGGGUGCGGGAUAGCCCAGGGAAACCUGGAUUAAUACCUCGUAGGACCACGCUCUGCAGGGAGAGUGGGAAAAGGCGCUUCGGCGUCGCCUGGGGAUGGGUCCGCGUCCCAUUAGCUAGAUGGUAGGGUAAGAGCCUACCAAGGCGAUGAUGGGUAGCCGGCCUGAGAGGGUGAACGGCCACACUGGGACUGAGAUACGGCCCAGACUCCUACGGGAGGCAGCAGCUAAGAAUAUUCCGCAAUGGACGAAAGUCUGACGGAGCGACGCCGCGUGGAUGAUGAAGGCCGGAAGGUUGUAAAAUCCUUUUGUCAACGAAGAAUAAGCGGAGGAGGGAAUGCCUUCGUGAUGACGUUAGUUGACGAAUAAGCCCCGGCUAAUUACGUGCCAGCAGCCGCGGUAACACGUAAGGGGCGAGCGUUGUUCGGAAUUAUUGGGCGUAAAGGGCGCGUAGGCGGUUUUGCCAGCCUGAUGUGAAAGCCUGGGGCUUAACCCUGGAAUUGCAUUGGGAACUGCAAGACUUGAAUCAUGGAAGGGAAAUCAGAAUUCCAGGUGUAGGGGUGAAAUCUGUAGAUAUCUGGAAGAACACCAAUGGCGAAGGCAGGCUGCCAGCAGAUUACUGACGCUGAGGCGCGAAGGUGCGGGGAGCAAACAGGUUUAGAUACCCUGGUAGUCCGCACAGUAAACGAUGUGCACUAGGUGUCGGGCAGUCAAUGUUCGGUACCGCAGCAAACGCGUUAAGUGCACCGCCUGGGGAGUAUGCCCGCAAGGGUGAAACUCAAAGGAAUUGACGGGGGCCUGCACAAGCGGUGGAGCAUGUGGUUUAAUUCGAUGAUACGCGAGAAACCUUACCUGGGCUUAAAUGUAUAGUGCAUAAUAUGGAAACAUAUUUUCCCUUCGGGACUCUUUACAAGGUGCUGCAUGGUUGUCGUCAGCUCGUGCCGUGAGGUGUCGGGUUAAGUCCCAUAACGAGCGCAACCCUCAUCGCCAGUUGCCAGCAUGUAAUGAUGGGGACUCUGGUGAAACUGCCGGUGUAAACCGUGAGGAAGGUGGGGAUGACGUCAAAUCAGCACGGCCCUUAUGUCCAGGGCUACACACGUGUUACAAUGGCCAAUACAAAGGGCAGCCACCCGGCGACGGGGUGCUAAUCCAUAAAGUUGGUCUUAGUUCGGAUCGGAGUCUGCAACUCGACUCCGUGAAGCUGGAUUCGCUAGUAAUCGUAGAUCAGCCAUGCUACGGUGAAUACGUUCCCGGGCCUUGUACACACCGCCCGUCA